GACGAACGCUGGCGGUGUGCUUAACACAUGCAAGUCGAACGGUAAGGCCCUUUCGGGGGUACACGGGUGGCGAACGGGUGAGUAACACGUGAGUAACCUGCCCUCAUCUCUGGGAUAACAGUCGGAAACGGUUGCUAAUACUGGAUAUGAGCUUGCAAGGCAUCUUGUGGGUUGGAAAGAUUUUUUUUGGUUGGGGAUGGACUCGCGGCCUAUCAGCUUGUUGGUGAGGUAGUGGCUCACCAAGGCUUCGACGGGUAGCCGGCCUGAGAGGGCGACCGGCCACAUUGGGACUGAGAUACGGCCCAAACUCCUACGGGAGGCAGCAGUGGGGAAUAUUGCACAAUGGACGGAAGUCUGAUGCAGCAACGCCGCGUGCGGGAUGACGGCCUUCGGGUUGUAAACCGCUUUCAAUUGUGACGAAGCUUUUUUGUGACGGUAGCAGUAGAAGAAGCAGCGGCUAACUACGUG
rnacentral:rRNA from 1 species